rnacentral:rRNA from 1 species
GUACGCUGGCGGCACGCCUUAUACAUGCAAGUCGAACGAAGUAGCAAUACUUAGUGGCAGACGGGUGAGUAACAUGUAGGUAUCUACCCUUUGGUGAGGAAUAACACGAGGAAACUUGUGCUAAUACCUCAUAAGUCUUUACGGAGAAAGCUUUAUGCGCCGAAGGAUGAGCCUGCACUUGAUUAGUUUGUUGGUGGGGUAAUGGCCUACCAAGACUUUGAUCUAUAGCUGAUCUGAGAGGAUGAUCAGCCACAUUGGGACUGAGACACGGCCCAAACUCCUACGGGAGGCAGCAGUAGGGAAUAUUGCACAAUGGAGGAAACUCUGAUGCAGCGAUGCCGCGUGAGUGAAGAAGGCCUUUGGGUUGUAAAGCUCUUUCGUCGGGGAAGAAAAUGACUGUACCCGAAUAAGAAGGUCCGGCUAACU